GAAGGUGUGUCGUGAGGCAUGCUGGAGGUAUCAGAAGUGCGAAUGCUGACAUAAGUAACGAUAAAGCGGGUGAAAAGCCCGCUCGCCGGAAGACCAAGGGUUCCUGUCCAACGUUAAUCGGGGCAGGGUGAGUCGACCCCUAAGGCGAGGCCGAAAGGCGUAGUCGAUGGGAAACGGGUUAAUAUUCCCGUACUUGGUGUUACUGCGAAGGGGGGACGGAGAAGGCUAUGUUGGCCGGGCGACGGUUGUCCCGGUUUAAGCGUGUAGGUGUGUGUUCCAGGUAAAUCCGGUUCACUUUAACACUGAGGCGUGACGACGAGGCACUACGGUGCUGAAGCAACAAAUGCCCUGCUUCCAGGAAAAGCCUCUAAGCAUCAGGUAACAUCAAAUCGUACCCCAAACCGACACAGGUGGUCAGGUAGAGAAUACCAAGGCGCUUGAGAGAACUCGGGUGAAGGAACUAGGCAAAAUGGUGCCGUAACUUCGGGAGAAGGCACGCUGACACGUAGGUGAAGUGAUUUACUCAUGGAGCUGAAGUCAGUCGAAGAUACCAGCUGGCUGCAACUGUUUAUUAAAAACACAGCACUGUGCAAACACGAAAGUGGACGUAUACGGUGUGACGCCUGCCCGGUGCCGGAAGGUUAAUUGAUGGGGUCAGCGCAAGCGAAGCUCCUGAUCGAAGCCCCGGUAAACGGCGGCCGUAACUAUAACGGUCCUAAGGUAGCGAAAUUCCUUGUCGGGUAAGUUCCGACCUGCACGAAUGGCGUAAUGAUGGCCAGGCUGUCUCCACCCGAGACUCAGUGAAAUUGAACUCGCUGUGAAGAUGCAGUGUACCCGCGGCAAGACGGAAAGACCCCGUGAACCUUUACUAUAGCUUGACACUGAACAUUGAGCCUUGAUGUGUAGGAUAGGUGGGAGGCUUUGAAGUGUGGACGCCAGUCUGCAUGGAGCCGACCUUGAAAUACCACCCUUUAAUGUUUGAUGUUCUAACGUGGACCCGUUACCCGGGUUGCGGACAGUGUCUGGUGGGUAGUUUGACUGGGGCGGUCUCCUCCUAAAGAGUAACGGAGGAGCACGAAGGUUGGCUAAUCCUGGUCGGACAUCAGGAGGUUAGUGCAAUGGCAUAAGCCAGCUUGACUGCGAGCGUGACGGCGCGAGCAGGUGCGAAAGCAGGUCAUAGUGAUCCGGUGGUUCUGAAUGGAAGGGCCAUCGCUCAACGGAUAAAAGGUACUCCGGGGAUAACAGGCUGAUACCGCCCAAGAGUUCAUAUCGACGGCGGUGUUUGGCACCUCGAUGUCGGCUCAUCACAUCCUGGGGCUGAAGUAGGUCCCAAGGGUAUGGCUGUUCGCCAUUUAAAGUGGUACGCGAGCUGGGUUUAGAACGUCGUGAGACAGUUCGGUCCCUAUCUGCCGUGGGCGCUGGAGAACUGAGGGGGGCUGCUCCUAGUACGAGAGGACCGGAGUGGACGCAUCACUGGUGUUCGGGUUGUCAUGCCAAUGGCACUGCCCGGUAGCUAAAUGCGGAAGAGAUAAGUGCUGAAAGCAUCUAAGCACGAAACUUGCCCCGAGAUGAGUUCUCCCUGAGACUUUAGGUCUCCUGAAGGAACGUUGAAGACGACGACGUUGAUAGGCCGGG
rnacentral:rRNA from 1 species